CCUACGGGAGGCAGCAGUAGGGAAUAUUGGGCAAUGGAGGCAACUCUGACCCAGCCAUGCCGCGUGCAGGAUGAAGGCGUUAUGCGUUGUAAACUGCUUUUAUAUAGGAAGAAAGAGUUCUUGCGAGAACAGUUGACGGUACUAUAUGAAUAAGCACCGGCUAACUCCGUGCCAGCAGCCGCGGUAAUACGGAGGGUGCAAGCGUUGUCCGGAUUUAUUGGGUUUAAAGGGUGCGUAGGCGGUUUAUUAAGUCAGUGGUGAAAGACGGUCGCUCAACGAUUGCAGUGCCAUUGAUACUGGUAGACUUGAGUGAGAUUGAGGUAGCUGGAAUGGAUAGUGUAGCGGUGAAAUGCAUAGAUAUUAUCCAGAACACCAAUUGCGUAGGCAAGUUACUAAGUCUCAACUGACGCUGAGGCACGAAAGUGUGGGUAUCAAACAGGAUUAGAUACCCUGGUAGUCCACACUGUAAACGAUGAUAACUAACUGUUGGCUUUCGGGUCAGUGGUACAGAGAAAUCGUUAAGUUAUCCACCUGGGGAGUACGCCGGCAACGGUGAAACUUAAAGAGUAGUAGGACGUGAGAGAGACGACGACGACGACGAGGAGGAGGAG
rnacentral:rRNA from 1 species